rnacentral:rRNA from 1 species
UAAGGAGGGAGCAAGCAGUAAUCGGAUUUAUUGGGCGUAAAGGGCGCGUAGGCGGAAAGAUAAGUCAGAUGUGAAAUCCCGGGGCUCAACCUCGGAACAGCAUUUGAAACUAUCUUUCUAGAGGGUAGGCGGAGAGAACGGAAUUCCACAAGUAGCGGUGAAAUGCGUAGAUAUGUGGAAGAACACCGGUGGCGAAGGCGGUUUUCUAGCUUACUCCUGACGCUGAGGCGCGAAAGCAAGGGGAUCAAACAGG